UCUUGAAAGUUACAUGAUGACAAAAUUUGCAAAUGUGUUACUGAUUGAUAUAGAUGUAAAUAAUAACUGUUCAGUGGAUUAUAUAAACUGUUACACGAAUAAAUUCAUUGGAAUUGAUCGAGGUCCACAAUUUACUAAAGAAAUUAUCCUGCUUGAUGUCUGGGACAUUGAAAAAUCAGCGUUUGUCUAUGGAAAUGACUUAUUCCCAAACAAAAUAAUAAACAGAUUCAAUAAAACAUGGAUCAUGGCUUGGUCCAAUGCACGAGUCUACUUCGAUCACAAAACUGGAAGUGGGUGCCAUCUCCGGGCUUUAUCCGAAUACACAAAACAUAGAAACAUAACAUUAAAGUCCUAUGAAUUUGCAUCUAACAAAAUCGGUGAUACGUUGGUAAAUCUCACGAGUACUGAAAUAACGGAUGUUGCUAUAAGCAGCUUAUUGUUAAAUUUAAAAAGAAAAGGCCAUGAAAUACGCACAGUUGAAGACUUAGCAAACUCCAACUUAUUGUGGUAUACUCAAGACCCAGGAGUCAUCACACCAAUCCAAAAUGACGAUGCUUUACUAUACCAAACCUUAUAUAAAAAUUUUCGGGAGGUUGACCAUGUAACCUUCGAUACAUUGGCAGCGCAAGCAAAGGAUAUUCUUGUUGCUCAACGUACAAUAUCCUCCGGAGCGCUUACAUUUGACGGAUAUAUUACUAUAGACACUCUAUCCAAGUAUAAAAUCUUACAAAAUGACAUCUACACCGGUCAGACAACGAUUUACCUCCAUCGUCAUUCACAACACUUGAACGAUUUUUGGAUAUUUUUGGGUCGUGUGGAAGCAUGUGGACUACUACAACACUGGGAAAUUCUAGGAACAGAUAAUGACUUACAUCUGAACAGAUAUUUACAAUCAGGAGACUCACCAGAGUCGAAAUACAACACAAGUUUAACUCUGGAACACACCAAAGGAAUAUUUGCCUUCUGGAUACUUGGGAUGUUAACAUCAUUGAUGAUAUUCGCAUGGGAAGUAAAACUUAGAGGAUAUAUUCCCCGAGAAAACAACUUACAUCGAUAAAUAAUCCACCAUUUAAUCAAUUACUUAAUGUAGAUGCUGCAAGAGGUUGGUUUUCGCCUCGAGGUGCUUGCCUUUCUUGCUUGUGACAUCUCUGCAACAGAAACACACGCACACACUCAAAUCUCACACAUCUCACAAGUGUUUAAACACGUGGAUACAUUCGGUUUUAAGCCUGUACCUCUGAAUGAAACACUUGAGUGCGUCGCGCGUUGAAACCGGGAAAUAGUUCUUGUUCACAAUGGCUUCAAAUGUCUGCAGGCAGCCUUCGAUGUCCCACGUGGGCACAAACUUCUUGUUUUCACUCUGAGCACACAACAAACACGGCGUCAACAAUAAAGAUAAAGAUAAGAAUUUUGAGAUAAGAACAUGUGUUACCAACCUUGAUUAAAUUCAGGUAUACCAAUAUAGUAUUAUUCAAAAUCGAGAUUUUAUCGUGACGUUGACACCAGCCGAAUAAUUCGACGCAGAGUUGUUCACAACACUUGACAACCAAAUUUUUCAUUGGAUCUUGCUUGGAUUUAUUGGACAUUGAUGCGACGUGCAUCAAAACUUCCAGAAAUGAUUCUAUAAAUGUAUCUGUAGGCGAAGCCUUUAAAAAAACAAUGUUAAUGAUGUUUUUUAAUGAUUGUAGAUGAAUAAAACUCACUUUUGCAUGUGCAAGAA